rnacentral:tRNA from 1 species
GCCCGGGUAGUUCAGUUCGGUAAAGCGUUAGGCUUUUAACCUAACGGUCCAGGUUUCGAGCCCCUGCUCGGGCG